UACGUAGGGGGCAAGCGUUGUCCGGAAUCAUUGGGCGUAAAGCGCGCGUAGGCGGCCCGGUAAGUCCGCUCUGAAAGUCCAGGGCUCAACCCUGGAAAGCGGGUGGAUACUGCCGGGCUAGAAUCCGGAAGAGGCGAGUGGAAUUCCUGGUGUAGCGGUGGAAUGCGCAGAUAUCGGGAGGAACAUCUGUGGCGAAGGCGACACCCUGGACCAGCACUGACACUGAGGCACGAAAGCGUGGGGAGCAAACAGG
rnacentral:rRNA from 1 species